rnacentral:rRNA from 1 species
GACGAACGCUGGCGGCGUGCUUAACACAUGCAAGUCGAGCGGUAAGGCCCUUUCGGGGGUACACGAGCGGCGAACGGGUGAGUAACACGUGGGUGACCUGCCCUCAGCUCUGGGAUAAGCCUGGGAAACCGGGUCUAAUACUGGAUAUGACUCCAUGACGCAUGUUGUGGGGUGGAAAGCCUUGUGCGGCUGAGGAUGGGCCCGCGGCCUAUCAGCUUGUUGGUGGGGUGANGGCCUACCAAGGCGACGACGGGUAGCCGGCCUGAGAGGGCGACCGGCCACACUGGGACUGAGACACGGCCCAGACUCCUACGGGAGGCAGCAGUGGGGAAUCUUGCGCGAUGGGCGAAAGCCUGACGCAGCGACGCCGCGUGAGGGAUGACGGCCU